UACGUAGGUGGCGAGCGUUGUCCGGAUUUAUUGGGUUUAAAGGGUGCGUAGGCGGCUUUGUAAGUCAGUGGUGAAAUACUCUAGCUUAACUAGAGGGGUGCCAUUGAUACUGCGGAGCUUGAGUACAGAUGAGGUAGGCGGAAUUGACGGUGUAGCGGUGAAAUGCAUAGAUAUCGGAAGGAACAUCAGUGGCGAAAGCGACUUCCUGGACCAGUACCGACGUUCAGGCACGAAAGCGUGGGGAGCAAACAGG
rnacentral:rRNA from 1 species